rnacentral:lncRNA from 1 species
AUGGUUGAUACCCUGAAUCUAACAAAUGGCAUCAGAGUCUGACCUUUUAUUUCAUAAAUGUAAGAAGAUGAAAAGGCAAAAUGGCUAAAGGGUCAGGAUUGAUCCUUUCAUUGUAGUAAGUAGGGUGAUUAGACGAAAUUAUUUUAUUAGAAAACACAGCAGCCACCUUAUCUAAUGAAGAAUCCAGGUCAAAGAAUCCAAGCUCUUAUUAUAGAAAACAGGGAAAAGAGGUAAAAUCAGGAAGCCAAAGGCUGCAAACCCAAGGAGUUCUUCACUUCAUACACGACAGGAGAAUUAAGAUUUUGGUCCUGUGAAGAUGUGCAAUACUAGCCUGUGAUGGAUGCUUACAGACUUAUACUAGUUGUGCUUUGACAUUGAAGGUGUGUUUCUUACAUGGGAAUAAGAAAUCUGGAGCGGGAAUUUCACUCCUUUUUUCAUUCAUUGAAUCAUCAUUGCGUUUUGAUUACUUACUAGAAACGGGAAUAGGAAUGAAAAAUCAUGAUGACAGAAAUCAAAACCCACUCUAAAAAAUGUCUAUUCCUCCCACCUAAAUGAUAUUCUCACUCACCUCUAUUUCUAUUCCUACUUCAAUUUCUAUUCUGGGGUUUGGAGUUGGAGGAGCCAACACAUCCAAGAGAGUUUUUCCUUUUCUCUUUUACCUCUUUCCCAAACUCCCUCUUAAUAAAAGCGAAUCACCCUGAGAAAUGUGUAAUAGCAAUUGGUGUCUUACAGAGAAAAUAUGCAAAAGUAUCUGAUCACCAGGGGAAGAGCCAAACCUAAAACAAAGGUUAAAGAUGGGGUAGAUGGAUUGAGAUGCAGCACCCAAUGCUACAUAUGCUCCUUCAUUUCUGUCAAAAAGUUCACUCCUGAGUACUUCUUUCUCGGUCUUUUGGCCGAAGUAUUUAGCAGCACUGCUAACUCAUGGAUUAGUAAAGAAAGAAGCUAAGCAUGGAAAUUCAUCAAGAAAACCGGGGCUGAUCAUACAAAUAAACAAGCAGUAGCAUGUUGCAGAUAUUUCAUGCUGGUGACCGUCUAACCGUCAAUGUCGUCUCACAAAUGCAAAAGAAGUUCAACACGAAUUAACAAUGGGAGGACAACAAAGCACUGGAAUGCUGCUGGUAUUCAAGAGAUUUACCCUCCUGAAUGGUUACAUCAGAAAAUGUAGUCUGGACACUGGAGAGGAAACCGGCCCACUUCAACCUCAAAUGCACUGCCUUUUGGGUCUGCCAAUCUGAAAAACAAAUAGGAAAAAGGUAACGCAUCAAUAAGAUGCAUUUUUGUAAGCAAAUGGUGCUACGACCUCAUUGUAACAUAUCCAACAACAAAAUUUUCUUUAAAUUUAAAGUACAGCUGACGGGAGAAUUAGUCCACAGGGUCUCUGCAGAAGGCACCCUAAAAUACCAUUCCCAGGCUGGUCAACAGAUUGGAUUCUGAUUGAUCGAAGUAGACAAACUAAAAUAUUCAGAAACAGGAUAAAUUGUACUGGUAAACAUGGAUCCUUCAAACUAUGAUUUAUGUCAAGUUUCAGAUCUAAAAAGAUGCUCAAAUUCAAUUUAUGUGAUAGAUCAUAUUGGGAAACAUACAUGGAGAGACUGAAUGCGCGAACUGUAAUCAUUGGGCACAAACAACUUAGGAACAAAAAAUGAAUCAAUUUCUAAUUUGGACGAAAUUAUAACUAAAUCAACCCAAUUGACAGGCUCAUAUAGAGCACAAUAAGAAGAAAAGAAAAUGCUGUUCUUUCCUUUUUCCUUUUUUUCUUUAAUUUUUUUGGGGGGCGGGGGGGCGGAGAUGAGAGGUGCUAAGAGUUCAUUAUCCAUAUUGAGAUUUCAUCAAAAUAUUUAAUCCACAUGGACUUCAAUUAGUUUAAUUAGUUUAGAAGUCACUAUUAGUAAGUAACAAGAGUAGCAAAUUACAGUAGCAGUACAAUUCAUACUACUAACAGCAAAUGAUCCAUGUAGAACUUCAAUUAGUUUAUUAAGUAGUUAGAUUCAACAAUAGUAGGUUUUAAGCACAUUUCUAAGCAGAUACUGUCAUGGUAUAUUGUUUACAAGCUUGUAGCAAUAUCGUUUGUACUACUCUAGCAGUAAAUUAUUAAGGAUUUUAGCAUUAUCUCAAUCUGUUCCCUCUCUUCCCCCCUCCCAACCUCCUAGGGCACCUCCCUGUACAGCAAGAAAGGUAUCUCCAAAAAUACUACCAUUAGACUGGAAAUGACAAAAGCUUCCUCCUUGUCCCUCCUAAGGCAUUAGGCUCCCUGUACAGAGAGAUGGGUGUCUCUUACAAUGAUGCAAACAAUGGAACCAUGACAACAAAAACGACCUUGGAAAAUUUGUGGACUAUGAAGAAGAGACACAUUGGUUUCAUUGAACUUCCUAAAGAAGCUGCCUCUAUUAAUUCAAAUUUCCUUUGGGUCAACAAAGAUAUCUAACUUGUGUAGAUACUUAUCUUAUGCCUCUGUUCUCCAAACUUGUAUAAUCAUGUCCAGCACUGCACCUGCACAGUACUCAAUGCCACAACCACCAAAAACAAAAAAAUUCUUGGCUCCACCCCUGCACAAACUGAACCCUGUCCAUGUCCUCUUCUACAGUAACAACUAGAAAAUCAUAUUAAGAAAAUCAUUGCCACCAAGCAGUAGCCUUGUCAGCAUGAUAUCAUCUAUUACCUUGCAGGACUUCUACAAGCAGGAAAAAGAAUUUAAAAACUAGGUCAAAGGAUGGUCAGACUGUGGCCACAGUGGAAAUAGAGCACCAGCAAAAACUUGACAUAUUCAACUUAACCCAAAGAAGCCUUAGAUAUUCAAUCCUUGGUAAUGGUAUCUUUUCUCAUUGUCUCUACUAUUCCCUCUGGCCUCCUAUUCAUCCACAAUAAAUCGAAAGAUUCUCUCUAGCUCAUGUUUAAUUCCCUUUGUUUUGGAAGUAAUUCUUUUUCUUUACCUGUUUCUUCCUCAACUUCCCCCCCUUUCCGCUGAUGAGGUUCCUUGCAAUUUCCUAGUAAUGUGCAACAAUAUUCUGUGUAGUAGACAAGGACACAAGGGUAACAAAUACAAGCAUACUAAAGACUUUAGCCAUUAGAAUUUGUCAAUUCUGAGACAAGGUACUUAUUAGGUCAAAUAAGUACAAUAGAUCCCAUAGAAUGAUAUGGCCAUAUCCAGACUAAUGUCAACCUAACCACUUCUGUGAAUAAAAUGUCAUUGUUUUUAAUAGAAUGGCUUGAAGAUACACACCACUUCAAAUUUGGCAUAUCACCCUGGUUGGUAGAGAAAUUAUCUAUAUCAUUCCACAUUUUCUCUCUAGGCACUUGGGGGGAAAUGAACAGAAGAAUGUGAGGAUCACCCAAUCAGUUCUCAUUUAGGCCAGGAUAGAGGCUAUCUGUCUGCCUUAAUACUCUGCUGAUUGAUAUUUGAGAAUAAUCAUUGCAAACACUUUAGAAUCUGCAGAUAACUUAAGCACCAUUAAUCUGUUAUAGCUGUAUGCUGCUUUGACCCAUUUCAAGCAGCUCAGGUUUGGUGAUUUAUCCAGUUAAGAUAAAGAGUCAAGUUCAUAAAAGAGGACUUGUGAGGUUUAAUGUGGACUACCUGCCAGGAACAAAUGUGAAAGCACCUUCAAUUGAACCUUGGGAUGAUGAUAGAGGGGUGCAACUUUCAUAAACAAAUUCUUCCCCCCCAGGAUACAAGAGUGGAUACUGCAAAUACAAGAGAAGAGAGGUUAAAAUUUCAGUUGUUUGUUUAAAAAGAAUAAGUUAAGGAUCCAAAUAUUUAUUAAAAUAAAUUAUGGCCUCUUCAAUAUCAGAUCAUGAAAACUAAAAAACCCUGGUGAGAACAUCAGAAAGCUUGUGGUCUUUAGUACUUUAAAAACCAUAGUCAAGAAUUAUGUAAAAGGAAAUGAACCCAUUCCACCUCAAUGACAUGCACAGUUCACUGAUGCAGCUAAUCAAGGAAUUCAACUUGCAAGUUCCCUUGAUUUGCAUCAGAAGGCAACCACCAGAAAUAAUUGAGUUAACAAAUUAUCCUAAUUAAGAAAUUUUUGCUUCACAACAAAAACAACCUUACAAAUUCUAAUAUCUGAGCAGAAAGAAGACAGUUCAGAGUUUCAGUCAGGGACCAUUUAAGGAUCAAAUGAUCAUUGAUGAGUCCAAAGUUGGCGCAUGAACAGAGACUCUAUCAAGUUUACCAUAGGGUCAUAGAUUUUUUUUUUUUUUUUUUUAUAAGCAAGUGAGAGUAAUGUAUUACGAAAAAGGCGCUAAAAUAGUGACUUAAGAUGUACAAGAAAGAGAGACUCACCCCCUUAUAGUUGAAACAAAAACUGACCAGACAAGAUGUACAAAAAACAACCCCUCCCUCACCGGGAACCCACUCAAGCAAUGAAAUCAUUAGCGUCGAGGACCAUCUUUUAUAAACAAUUUAGACUCCAACCAAAGCAAAUAUACAAAAAAAGCUUUCAGCUCUUGCAAGGACAGCACACCAUUAUCAAAGGCAAUCUUGUUCCUUGUCUUCCAAACUGCCCAAUGCUUCUUACCCACAAAAGCCCCUUUCCACCCCAAGAGGGUUUCCUUAACCGAGGAAGGAAACACCUAAUGCACUCCAAACAGAGUAAAGAACAGCUUCCACACUUCCCUUGUUUUUUUGCAAUGGAGAAAAAGAUGGUCAAUGGACUCCUCAUGCGCUUGGCACAAAUAACUUUUAUUUGCUAGCCCACCCCCUCUUCUGAACUUGGUCCAAGGUUAAAACUUUUCCCCAUGUCACUUCCCAAGCAAAGAAACUUACUUUCAGUUGCACACUUUUUUUUUUGAUAGAUAAACAACCAAAUAUAUUAGAAAAGGCUAAAAAGCCACACGUAUACAGGGAGUAUACUGAACAGCCCUACACAAGGCUAGAAAAAACAAAACAAAGGGGAAAAAAACCCCACCCACCCUCACCCACCCUCAAGUGGUCCCAAGCCACUCCAAAAAACCUAAAAGAGAGUAGGUUUCCUCACCAUUGUACACCCUAGCCCAACUCCACAAGUUACAUACAAAAGAAUUUUUGAAUUUCUGAAUAUCUAAAGACCCUCCCCUGAAAGCUAACCUAUUCCUUUCCUUCCAAACCAUCCAAAAUAUGCACACCGGAAUGGAAUUCCAUAUCUUUUUUCUUUUUUUCCCCACAAAGGAACCCCUCCAACUAAGUAACACCUCUAUAACUGACUCUGGGAACACCCAUUGAACUCCAAAAAUGGCAAGGGUAAUCUCCCAAAUAGUUUUAGUCACUGUACAAUGUAAGAGGAUGUGAUUCGCACUUUCCUCUUCAUAGCCGCAUAAGAAGCACCGGUUUGGGAGCUGCCACCCCCUUCUCUGAAGCUUAUCCAAAGUAAGGAUCUUCCCCCACGAGGCUUCCCAAGCAAAAAAAGACACUUUUGUUGGAACCUUAUCCAUCCAAAUGCGCCUAUACGGAAAAACCUCGACUGAAGAGCCACUCAAAAUAUUGUAGGCCCCCUUGGCCCCAAAAACUCCAUUUCAGUUGCACACUUGAGUUCCAUAUUAUCUUCAUUGGGAAGCACCCUGUUCAUUCCAUCUCUAAGGCUUUAUAAAGAGUCUUUACCGAAAACGUGUCAUCCUUUGAUCCCUCCACCUCACCUUAUCCUCCACAUCCACAAUCACACUCUUCCCACUCAAACACAAUAACAGAUUUUCCACCUCAUCCAUCUCCUAAUCAUUAAAAGGCCCAGAGAAACAAGGGAUCCAACUCCCCCCCCCCCCCCCNNNNNNNNNNNNNNNNNNNNNNNNNNNNNNNNNNNNNNNNNNNNNNNNNNNNNNNNNNNNNNNNNNNNNNNNNNNNNNNNNNNNNNNNNNNNNNNNNNNNCCCCCCCUCUCCUUUUCCUCACUUUUUGAAGCAGUCCAAACAUCUUCCACCAAAGCCUCUUUCGACAUAGCUAUGACAAAUAAGGCAAGAAAAGAAACACAUAAAGGUGCAGCUCCACACCACUUAUCCUUCCAAAAACCCACUCUCUGCCCAUUUCCCACCAUAAAAGAAAAUCUAGAGCUAACAAGGUGCCUCAACUUCCUAAUUGUUUUCCACAGGCCUACACCAUACCCCUCCCUUACUUCUUGAGAACACUAACCUCCACAUUCCCAUAUUUCCUCCUUAUUACUUGAUUCCAAAAAGUCUCUUUUUCAUUUGCAUAUCACCAACUCCAUUUGCAAAUGAGAGCCUUAUCAAGCAUGGAAAGGCUUUUCACCCCCAGGCCCCCUUUUCUCUUGUCUAGACAACCUAUCAACCAUCUUACCAAAUGAGGUUUUUUCUCCAGGGCCCCACCUCCCCACAGAAAAUCCCUCUUAAACUACUUCAAUCUCAUUCUAAUCAUUCUAGGCAAAUGGAGGAUAGACAUAAGAUAAAUUGGCAAACUAGAUAACGUGCUUCGUAUCAAGGUGAUUCUCCCACCCUUUGAGAUAUAUUGGCACUUCCACAUAGCCAAUCUUUUAUAGAACCUUUCCUUAAUUCAGUCAGUGUGAUAUCCUCGAAGUAUCGCUCCAUAUGCCAUAAGAAGUUGUCCAACUCCUUGGCAUCCCGCUUGCCACUAAACCCUUAUGGCUUCGGCACCUCCACCCUAGAUGCCUCCUGUGUGGUCAUGAACCAUGCCGACACAGCAGCCUUGUAGAUGGCCAACUCCUACCUAACCUCCUGGUCUCGGGACUCCAUUUGAGUGGCCAAGGCCUCUAUCCUUGACUCCAUGCUAGCAAACAUGCUCAAGACCUUUUUUUGGAAGGACACAAAUUCCUCGCGCGACACUGGUUAAACCUGUGAGACUAGCAUCCCCUCACCAAGGUCUUAGAUUUGUUUCCUAAGAUCCUUCAUACCCUUCUCCAUACCUUACUCGAUCAAGUCCAACCCCUCCCGAGUAUCCGCCAUGGCUAGCUCCACCUUGGCUAACCUUACCUCCAUGUUGGCAACGGCAUCACAAGACUUAUCCUUCCUACCCCUGCCCCGUGCAGUAGGCUCGGUCUCCCUUCCAUGAGUUUGCUCACUAGUCUCAUCCACGUUGGAGCCCGACAUGCUUCCUUUACUAUGCCCACUUCGUAGCCGCACUCUGAUACCAACUGUCACGGACUUAGUCUUUUCCUAAGCUCGUGCAGCACUUAGACAAGUCAAGACACUUGAACUUGCUAAGUUAGCCUUACUCCCAAUACUUAGCUUGUUAGACUAAGAUGUUCACAACUUGGAAGCUUUAUAAGGCAUAGUAGGCAACUCUUAAAAAAUGGAAGCUUAACAAGUGUUUUAGGAACUCACUUGCUUGGUUAGGAAGUAGUUUGGGUGGUGUCUUGGCCAAAUGAGGGUCUCACCUAUUUAUAGGCACCUUAGGAAGUUUCUGGAACCUUAGAGGGUUCCUUACAACUCAAGAAUAAUCUAGAACAUCCUAUAUAAUUCUAUGUACAAGUUUAUGUACAAUAAUAUACAAGAGAUCUCUAGAAUUCUCUAAAAAGCCUUAGACUCCUCUCAUGCCUUCCACCAUAGUGUAGAGAUAUGUGGACAUCUCUAAGCAUGUCUAAAACCUUCCACACUCUUCCCACCAAUGGCUUAGUAUAGAUGGCUCCAGGAGUCUCUAGAAGUUUUUUGCCCUCUAUAUAACCCCAUGAGAAGGGUCAUUUGAAGCAUCUUGUGACAUUAAGCAGGCUUACUAGAGUCAAGAAAUAUGUUCAUCCCAUAACUGUCAAACAUUUCUUCAAUAUUUUUCUUCUUGUUCCCAUUGUAUAUAAUUCCUAAGUCAUUUUCAGGCUAUAUAGAUGGCAGUUAAUGCUAUUAUGCAACUAGGAGAACGACAUGUUUUGUUGAAUGGGAAUUGGACAAGUUAUUCCUUCUCAAAUAAGGACUUGAUUUAGAAUUAUAAAAGGGUCUAAAACAUUUAUCAGUUCCAUAGUUAGAACUCUUGACAUGCUGAACUGUCUAAGCAUUACGAUGCUCGCUCAGAUAUUUUGUUGCAGGUCUUAUCAGCUAGAGACUUUGAAACUUGAGGUUGACAUGUUGAAUCGUCUAGGCAUUAAGAUACUCCCUCAGAUAUUUUGUUGCAGCUCUUAUCAGAGAGAGGCCUUGAAACUCGAGGUUGACAUGCUGAACUGUCUAAGCAUUAAGAUGCUCCUUCAGAUAUUUUGUCGCAGCUCCUAUCAGAGAGAGGCCUUGAAACUCGAGGGCUAAUCUAAUUUGAAUAAUUGCUUUGGAUUAAAAUAUUUUCUUAGGUUCAGAAGUUUGCAUUUUAGAACCAAUUUCCCUCGUGUGAAACAAAAUCAGAAUUCAUAAUCAUUCCCUAAAGCAGACAUAACCAAUCAAAGGAUUAAAAAAACAAUUAAUGAUACAGUAGAGGAUGUCUCUUAAAAAAAGUGGGAGUAAUGGUUUGAAUGGAUCUCCAUCUUGGAUACAGGCACAUCCACAGACAUUAAUGUCUAUAUUUGACCAAUAUAUACUUUUCAAAAGAUAAUGGAAGUCCCAACAUCAUUGUAGGGUUCCACAUAAUUAUGCCAGCAGGAAAAGUUCCUUCAUGUCUUCAUGCUGGCUUAGUUUUCUAUUCUGAUAAAUCCACAAAUUACAUGGAAAUGGAAAACACCACAGGAUUUUCAAAAUAAGUGGAAACAAGAAUUUUCAUUUCUAGUAAACUUGAACAUAGUAUCUAAUUGAAAAUUUGCUACUGCAAGAAGAUCAAUUAAUAGAACAAAAGCUUACCUUUCCAAUAACAGCUUCUGCAUUAACUUCAGAUACAACAUGGUCAUUUGCACGGAUGAUCCAGUGCCUCCAAUUCAGUUGGCAGGAGCCAAAGGAUGUUCCAUUGACAAUGCAUCCCUCAGGCAGGAGGCGCAUACGAAUUGAAUAAGCAAACAGAUAUUUAUGAGAUUCAUCUAGAAGGUUACAACCCUCCGGAAUGAAUACAGCAGAAGCGCGAACCUAAAAUGGGGUGCCAUUGUCAAUUUUCAUAUAGCAAUAGGAAAGACGACAGUGGUUGUAGUAGGAAUAGGAAACAAAGAACUCCCAAAAGUUGACAUAAAAACACCCUUCCAUCUUCGCAUCUUUGCUAGAGAGCUUACUUGAUAAUGUAUGUCAACUAUAAGGAGUGAUAAGAUUUUGCCUACCGAUGAUUUCAAUACACCUCAGACUAUAUAACCUGACCCAGCAGCCUUUAUUAUAACCAGCCAAGUGUAGAAUCAAAUCUCACUUAGGUCCUUUCACCCAAUUUAGCAUGUGAUUGCCUCUUGAUGGUGUGGUUGCGUGUAGAAUUGCCGAGAGAGAGAGACAGACAGAUAGACACAGAGAGAGAGGAUACCAUUUUCAUGAAACCCACUCCUGCACCCCAAGCCAAGAAAAGAACUAAAGAAAAACAAAACCUAAAGAGAAAAAAUAUUGGACAAGUGACUACCAGAGAAAGAGAGAGAAAGAGAGAGAGAGAAGAUGGCAUUUCCGUGGAAACAUAAUCCCACACCCCAAGCCAAGAAAAGAACUCAAGAAAAACAAAAGAAAACAAAAAGAAACAAUAUUGGACAAGUAAGUAACUGAGAGAGAGAAAAAUAGAGAAAGAGAAGAUGGCACUUCCGUGAAACGUACUCCCACACCCCAAACCAAGAAAAGAACUCAAGAAAAACAAAACCUGAAGAGAAAAAAUAUUGGAUAAGUGGGUACCUGAACACCAUUGGUUACUGCAGUGGAACAGAGAGGAGAUUCUUCUGGGAACAAGUUGAUACUUCUGAUCAUUCCUUCGUUACGGAGUUUAAUAAUGCCAUUUUGUAAGCGACGAACAUGUUCUUCUAACCAUAGCAGCAUCGCAUCCUGCUGUUGACCAGUGUUCGAGUCAUGCAUCGGACUUAUCAGUGCAUUUGGUACACAAGGAAUCAUUUCUCCAGCUGAUACAAGACUCCUGGUACCAACAUAAAGUUGACCAGUGGUACAAUUGAGGAAAAAAAACUUUCCAAUGUAUGUGGAAGAAGCAGCCACAAUAACAUACUUAGAUGUUGUGGAAAAACCUAGCUGGUCUGUAAUCUCCUUUGUUUCCAAGAUUACCUGACGCAAAGGUAAUAAGCACACAUUUACAAGGUGGUCAUAAAAGCAGUAACCUCCUAUGAUGCCCAAUGAACUGCCAAGAGCGGUUCCUCCAACAUCGUCUGUCAGCUCUUGACCAUCACAGAAGCGAUAGAGAAGCCUUGUUGGAAGAGGCAAUUUCACUUUCAAAAUGUUCUCCAACGCUUCAAUUUCAACUUCUGUUGCACCCUUUCGUAGUGUAGCAUCAGCCUCCGGGAAAUUUGCACUCAACCAGUUUUUAAGUCUAUCCCAACAUCUUUUCACCCGUUUGACAAGGGGCCAUGGGUACAUACCAAAAGAUUCCCGCCAUAGUCGAUAAGUUUCCUGGAGAAACAGGUCAUUUGAUAAGCUUCUGGGUAAUAUUCAAAAAGUAAUAGUAUUAGUUAGAUGAAUCAGAAUUGUAUGAUUACAUAUCAAAAGAAUAAAAUAAGUAAAAAAGAUGACUGGUCCAGCUGCAACUUAGGCCGGUUAUCAGUUUGAACCAUGUAACAAAUGGACAAAAUCCAGGAACAUAAAAAACAUGAUUGUUAGGCUGCAAGUUCCUUAGGGGCCAGCCCAAUGUACAUUUAUCAGGCCCAUACCUGGCUGAACCAACACAGCCUGCAUUCCUGGGCCCACACCUCCAAGACCUAACACAUAAAGUUAGGAUCUUGUAUCCUAACUGUUUUUUUUUUCUUUUUUCUAAGUUUUACAUAAAGUUACAUGAUGACAUAUAAUAAUCAAAAAACCAAAAAAAAAAAGAGAUUAAACACCAAAUACAAGAAAAUAUAUAAAGGCAAACAGCUAACAUGACUAAGGAUCCCUUACAAGACCAAAAAAAAAGAGAGAGAAUUCAGAUCCCACCUCCCAACUGGAGAUCCAGAAGAAAUAAACUCCACAACAUAUCUUUUAGAUUACAAAAAACGAACUAAUAACAUAAAUGUAGGCCAUAUUCCAUCAUCUAUGUAACAUGUAGAUAGGAAGUUGAACCUUGCAAAUGUGCAUAUUCAGGACUGGUCCAAGCUGCUUUUAAUAGAAGUAGACUAUAUUCCUUCAUUCAUGUUACAUCACAUGCACCUAGGAAGUUCAACCUUGUAAAUAUGCAUAAGCAGGACUGAUCCAAGGUGCUCUUGAUAGACCUCAACACAUAAUAAAUAUGCAUAUUCAGGAGGUUGAGCAUUACUUGAUGACUCUUCCUGUUCAAAAUACCAAGCUAAAAAUCAAAAUGAAUGAGCUUGUUUAGUUUACCAUUUUCCAGACUUUUCUUACAUGAAAAGAAAAAUGCAAUAAAGCACCACUUUUCUGGAUUUCCCAACUGAUUAAAAGAUUGCACCAAUGCUCAGAUAUUCCAUUCAUUGGCAGUGGUUAUUUUUGGCCAUCUGCAUUUUCACAUCUAAGAAAGCAUUACUUACCAAAGGAACAUAAACAUGAUCAUUCACUAUUUCUAGCAUUCUUAAUGAGAAAUCUUACUUACAAAAAAAAAAAUUAAUCUGGGAAAAAAGGCACUCCAGUGUGGGAGUUUCUUAUAGACUUGAGUUAUGCAUCAGGAGAAAUGAUCUUACAUGAAAUUCCCAUUUUACAUUCACUCAGCUAGCAUCCCAGAUGGAAGCUUAUAUUUUGAUAAAGACUCUGAUCAUGUGCAGAAUCUCUUAAGUCUGUGUGUGUGUGUCUGUGUGUAGGGGCAAUUUCUUAACUGCAUAUAUUUUUCUUAUAAAUAAGGACUUAAUUUUCAUAUUAACAUGUAACACCAUUUCAAUCUUUGAAACCAUAACUCAUAUAAGCUACUCAAGUAAAUGCAACUAUGACUUUUCAAGAGCAAAACAAGACAUGGAGACUGUUUUCUCAUCAGGCUUCCAUCAUUUGGCAUAGAAGAUCUCCAUUUAACAAAAAAUGGUAAGUGUGAAACAUAGGGAAAUGUCAAACUUUUCAGUAUACCAUAUUGCAAACUUGGUACACAAAAUUUCACAGGAAAAAAAGAAAAAGAAUUCAUGGUCCUAAAUUCCAAUACCUAAAAAUACACACAUCCAAAUUACAUAUAAUUCAACUAUUUACUCUGCAGAAAUUACAUUCAUAACUUCUGUCGCCUCACCCGUUAUGCAAAAAACCCAGAAUUGAUGUAUUUACUGAUUAUACAAUCUAAUGACGAAUUGAGCAAUCCAAGACACUUUCACCAUAAAUGCAUGUGUUUGUGAAGGAAAAUGACUCAAAUUCAUAGAAGUCAAAGCAUAUGAAAGAAAAAUGAGAAAGCUACAUAUAAGACAAACGACAAGAAGUCUCAAACAUCAUAUCAGUACGAUAAUCUGAACCGAAAUUGAAUCGACCAUAAAGGUAACCAAAGUAGAAGACCACAGAUUAGCGAUAAGUAGGAAAUUAGCCAAAAUAAAAAAAAAACACUUCAACAGCAUGAGUUGAAUCUGAAGCAAAUAUAAAGAGAAACAAAGCAGACAAUCACGAUAAUUCUGAAAAUUUGAAACAAGUCACUGCAAUAGUAUGGACUGAAACUGCAGAAACUGCAGAGGAAAUAAAGCACACAAUCAGAUUUUAAAAAAAAAAUUGAGGAAAAUCGAAAAAAAGAAUUCGAAAAAAUUAGAAAAAUAACCUUGAAAGAAGGAGCGGGUUUUCCGAGAGGAUCGAUAGGGGCAGAGAGUCCGAGAUCUUGAGAGCAGUGGUUGAGCCAAAGAGACUCUUCGGAUGCAGAAACCCUAAGCUUUUUGCUGACACAAGACACCGCUACAGUGUCUUUGGUGUCCAAUUUGGAUAUAAUUGCAUUGAUAGCCAAGUCGCCCAAGUCCUCCAACCCCAUUUCCAUGGCGCUUUCUAUCUCCAGUUUCUCACUCUACUUUCUCGCGCUGGUUUGUUUGGUGAGAAAGUUAGUGGUGUGUAAUAUACUACAGCCUAAGGACGAAGUUACGAACGCGAUCAAUCCAAGGGCGUGUUUGGGAAGACGUCGCUUUUGUGGUUUUAACAAACGGAGAAAAUGGACAUCCCUUUAAUAAGUUUGGGACAAGUGUGCUUCCUUAUUAACAAAAUGGUAACUCAUCUUUGCACAUUUCAAAGCUUUUAAUUACUAUCAAAAUAUACUAACUACAUUUGGUUGGCCGGAUAGAAUAGACAUUUCCAUAGGAUAUUAUAUCCGAUGUAACAUAUCUUUAGUUUGUGAAAUAAAUAAAGGAAGAUAAUAUGAAAUAAAUAUUAUUAAUCAAUUUGAAAAUUAAAAAAUUAUAUUACAUUCCAAAAUUUUUUAUUUUAAAAAGAAAAUUUCCUUACCUUUAACAAUAGUCAAGAUUAAAAUAUUUAAACUUUAUAAAUAUUUUUUUUAUCAAUAUUAUUUUAUAAAAAAAAUUAGUUCUUAUUUUUUAACCACAAAUUUAAUUUUAUAUAAUUUUAUAAUUUUAUUUAUCAAAAUAAGUAAUAUAAAAAAAUAAAUUUAUGAUAUAUAACAUAUGCAUAUUCUACAUUUAACUUAAAAUUAACAUAUCUUAUGUAGAUGGAAUAUUAAAUAUGCAGUAUUUAGAAAUUAUUGUUGUUUUCAAAACCUAAAAAGAGCUUUUUAUUUUUUCGCCAAAAAAAAAAAAUCUCAUUUCAUGCAUUAGUAUAGUGUCCUCCCCGUAUUGGUCGAAAAUACCCUUGGAGUGCCUUUUUGAGUGGCACCCAUACCAGCUAACAAGGCAAUGGCACAGUAGCCUCCUUUAAUUUGACUUUUAAAUCAUCACUUAACCAGCUUAUAACCAAUAAUAAAACAUAAAUUAAAAAUUUAUUGAAAUGUAAUUUCCCUAUUGAGAUUAAAAGAAUACAUGUGAUGACUUAACCUAGGUUUUAAACAUAUGUAAUUCUCAUAACCUAAAUUACACAUACAUUAAAAUAAAAACUUAAAUGAGUAAAUAUAGUAAUUAAAUCUUAGCCGCGGAGAUUUCUCUAGUGGAGCCCUAACCCAAUGUGUUCGAGAGUUUGACCUACCCAUUUCUCCAUCUAUGUGUGAGAUUCGUUGGUUGCAAUGUAGAUAUCAUGUUGACGGGAAGGAAGUGGCAAACCACCCCCACACCCCUUAAAAUCUAUGGUUGUUCUUAUUGAGAUAAGUCGCAACCUUACUCUUGUUUGAAGCAGAAGGUACCCUCUUUUUUUGUUCUUUGUGUCAAGAAUUAAGGUUCUUUGGUUUUAAUUAGUUAUAUAGUUACUGAAUUAUUAAUUUUUUGAAGCCUUAUUAUUUUGAUUUAGAUGAAUUCAUUUAACACAAUGUCUUAUUUGAAAUAAUAUUUUACCCAUUCAUUUGGGUAUAGUCAAAAUUCAUUUAAAAAAUUUAUCCAUGUGAUCAAUCUUAUUAUCUAGGUAAUUUACAAAAAUUCACCUCAUAUUAUCACUCAAAGCGAUUGUGAUUCUAGAAAAUGUUUUUAACAUUUCGAAUACUUGAAAAUUUUUAUCAUUCAAGUCUUAAAAAUGCUAAAAACAUUUCUUAAAAUCACUGUCAAACAUACUCCUAAUUUUAUUCUUAAUUUUUUUUUUAAACAAUGUUAAUCAUAAUAAAAUAUAUCACUUUCUUAAAUUAUCCCCUUCACUGCCCACACACAAAUUAGAUAUUUUCAUAUGAAUUUCCCAAUCCAAUUUUUGACCAAAGUUCUUAACAAAAUGAGAUAUUCAAUUAUGUGAGAAAAUAUAAUGAUCCUAGUAUUAAUUUAAAUUAACAUUAUAAUUUUUGUUCAAAAACCCAAAAAAAAAAAAAUGUUUUCAAAAGUAGUUUUGAAACACCAAACAAGUCCUACAUAGCUCUUGUCAUCUCUAGUUCAAAACAAAAACUUGUUUUUAAGAUCAAAUUCCAAGUACUAAAUUAAUCUUAUAUUAUUUUUGUUUUGAUGUUGAAAAUAUCUUUAUAUCAAUUUGGCUAAUUUAGUUCAAAGAAUCUAAUUUUAAUUUUAAAAAAAUUAAAAAAUAUAUUAUUUGUUUAUAAUAAUUAUUUUUAUAUUUAAUGAAAGUUUUAUAAUAUUAAUAUUACCCUCUUUGGCAUAAAGCUAGUGAGAGGCCUACCAACCAAUCCUUUGCCGAGUGAAGCUUAUUUCCCAAUCCAAGCCCACCCGCUUCAACAAGCAAACAUAGAUUCUCAAAUAAAACCACACCCAUAUAGGCGUUUUGAUUAACCCAAAAUUCAACACUACAAGUCUACACCCACAAAACUAAAAGAAAGCCAAAUUAAAAAUUGAAGGAAAAAAAAAAAUAGAAAACAUAUUGAAAGAGGCCCUUUUUACAUUCUCCCAGAACAGUCAGCUUUUCCUUUUUCUUUUUCUUUUUUCUCUUUUGGGUUUCUCCUCCAUGAGAAACUGCAGAGGGUUAAAGUCUCGGAGACGCGGCCAUUUCAACCCAAGAAAACAAAGCUAUUUGCGAUUGAAUUUCUUCUUGUUAAAGGCUAAUCAGCAACCAACCUAUCGCCAUUUUUUGGUCCAAGAAUUGCAUCCAUUUGACGGGGUAAAAAGCCGCAGGCUUCCUACACAUAGAGGAAAAAAAUGAAUAGUCGUCAGACAAAUACAAACAAUUUUUUUUUUUUUUCAAUACAAUUUAUAGAAUGGUGGCUUUCAAAAGGAUACCAAAAUUUGUGUUCUAUUUUUCUUUUGUUCUUCCGCAUUUGGUUCUUCAACAAUUGUAAUGACACAAUCAUAGCAAACCCAUUUAAAUGAAUGAAUUUCAUUCAAAAAACUUAUAAAAACAUUUCAUUAGUAAACACUAUAAAUGAUUUUUUCAGCUUUCUAAGAAUAUUAAAAUUAGAAAAACUAAAAAUAAAAAUAAAAAGCCUUUGCUUCUAACCCUUUCCGAAUCCCUUCCAAACACACUACUUUUAGUAUAUGAGUUGAAACUUGAAAAAUAAAUAAAUAAAAAUCAUAAUUUGAUUAAAGAUCCAUUUUCUCAUAUAUAUAUAUAUAUAUUAAAAGGUUAUUUAUUUUUUUAACUUUUUAUUGAAAGCAAUUUAAUUUUAAGUUUUUUAUUUUUUCAUUUUUUCAUAAUUUAUUAUAAACUUUUUACUAAAUAAAAAAACUAAAAUAUUUAGCUUUUUAUAAAUAAUAAAAAAUAAUAUAUUGAUUUUUUUUAACUUUUUAAUACUUAAUAAAAAUAAAAUAUUACAAAAACAAACUUAAUACUUAACACUGUUAAGUACUACUUAAUUUUAAGUUAUAUUUAAAAUUAAUUUUAAAAAAACAAUUACCACCUAAUUUAUCCGAAAUUACAAAAGAAUCAUACUUACAUGAAAUUUGGUUAGCAAUUUAAGUUGGAAAACUAGAAAAGAUUAGUUCAAUUGCAUUCAACACAACAUAAAUAAAAAUUUUAAAUCACAAAAUAGCCUAAUCAUCCAAAUUUAGGGUCACAAAACAUUUCAUUCAUUAAGUACUAAAAUUAUUAUUAACCCAUAAAUGUCUCUAUUAAAAAAAUAGCUUAUAGGUUAAAAAUUAAAGAUAAUUUUAUAGAAUAAAAAAUUACGAUCUAUUUGAUAAUUGCUUCCAAAAACUUACAGAGAAAUGUGUAAUAGCAAUUGGUGCCUUACAGAGAAAACAUGCAAAAGUAUCUGAUCACUAGGGGAAGAGCCAAACCUAAAACAAAGGUUAAAGAUGGGGUAGAUGGAUUGAGAUGCUGCACCCAAUGCUACAUAUGCUCCUUCAUUUCUGUCAAAAAGUUCACUCCUGAGUACUUCUUUCUCGG